rnacentral:rRNA from 2 species
CUACUCUUGACAUCCACGGAAUUUGGCAGAGAUGCCUUAGUGCCUUCGGGAACCGUGAGACAGGUGCUGCAUGGCUGUCGUCAGCUCGUGUUGUGAAAUGUUGGGUUAAGUCCCGCAACGAGCGCAACCCUUAUCCUUUGUUGCCAGCGAUUCGGUCGGGAACUCAAAGGAGACUGCCGGUGAUAAACCGGAGGAAGGUGGGGAUGACGUCAAGUCAUCAUGGCCCUUACGAGUAGGGCUACACACGUGCUACAAUGGCGCAUACAAAGAGAAGCGACCUCGCGAGAGCAAGCGGACCUCACAAAGUGCGUCGUAGUCCGGAUCGGAGUCUGCAACUCGACUCCGUGAAGUCGGAAUCGCUAGUAAUCGUGGAUCAGAAUGCCACGGUGAAUACGUUCCC